rnacentral:rRNA from 1 species
CCGUAAACGAUGAAUACUAGGUGUUGGAGGGUUUCCGCCCUUCAGUGCCGCAGCUAACGCAUUAAGUAUUCCGCCUGGGGAGUACGACCGCAAGGUUGAAACUCAAAGGAAUUGACGGGGGCCCGCACAAGUGGUGGAGCAUGUGGUUUAAUUCGAUGCUACGCGAAGAACCUUACCAGCUCUUGACAUCUUCUGCCAACCCAAGAGAUUGGGCGUUCCCUUCGGGGACAGAAUGACAGGUGGUGCAUGGUUGUCGUCAGCUCGUGUCGUGAGAUGUUGGGUUAAGUCCCGCAACGAGCGCAACCCUUAUUAUUAGUUGCCAGCAUUUAGUUGGGCACUCUAGUGAGACUGCCGGUGAUAAACCGGAGGAAGGUGGGGACGACGUCAAAUCAUCAUGCCCCUUAUGAGCUGGGCUACACACGUGCUACAAUGGAUGGUACAACGAGUCGCGAAACCGCGAGGUCAAGCUAAUCUCUUAAAGCCAUUCUCAGUUCGGAUUGCAGGCUGCAACUCGCCUGCAUGAAGUUGGAAUCACUAGUAAUCGUGGAUCAGCAUGCCA